rfam:Danio rerio chromosome 4, GRCz11 reference primary assembly.
GGUAGUAUGGCCGAGGGGUCUAAGGCGCUGGAUUUAGACUCAAGUCUCUUUGGGGGCGUGGGUUCGAAUCCCACCGCUGCCA